rnacentral:piRNA from 1 species
UGGUUACUCUCUAGAACUUGAUGGUAA